rnacentral:rRNA from 1 species
AUUGAACGCUGGCGGCAUGCCUUACACAUGCAAGUCGAACGGUAACGGGCCUUCGGGUGCCGACGAGUGGCGAACGGGUGAGUAAUGUAUCGGAACGUACCUUUCAGUGGGGGAUAACGUAGCGAAAGUUACGCUAAUACCGCAUAUUCUGUGAGCAGGAAAGCAGGGGAUCGCAAGACCUUGCGCUGAUUGAGCGGCCGAUAUCAGAUUAGCUAGUUGGUGAGGUAAAGGCUCACCAAGGCGACGAUCUGUAGCGGGUCUGAGAGGAUGAUCCGCCACACUGGAACUGAGACACGGUCCAGACUCCUACGGGAGGCAGCAGUGGGGAAUUUUGGACAAUGGGCGCAAGCCUGAUCCAGCCAUUCCGCGUGAGUGAAGAAGGCCUUCGGGUUGUAAAGCUCUUUCGGCAGGAACGAAACGGUAGUUACUAAUACUAGCUGCUAAUGACGGUACCUGAAGAAGAAGCACCGGCUAACUACGUGCCAGCAGCCGCGGUAAUAC